CGAAAGUUAUUAAGCACAAAAGAUGAAUUGCGUUUAUUUUGAUACACCCUGUAGACUAUAGUUAUAUGUGAUGCAAUUUUACGCCUUGUGAUUAUAUCUAAAAUUUACUAAAAAUUUUCCUUAUGAUCGAUUUUGUUCGAGGGACAGUGAAAGAACUAAGUCUUUUAUAGACCAAACAAUAGUCUGUCAAGAUAUGAUCAUUAUGAUGGUCUGGAAGCCUGCAAACUUCAAAGCUACAAAAUAGAAGACCUAGUGUUUGAUGUUGAACUGUAUCUUCAUAGAUUUGGUUAAACAGUCUUUUCAUGUAGCAAGAAUAUUUGAAAUUUAAAAUGUUCUUGGCUUUAUUUCGGUGUUGUGUAAGUUGUCUGUACAAAUGGAGGCCGGGUGUGCUCAUCGACCCAUAUAUGGUUCAGUGUACGACUGUUGACCAAGUCAGUAAUCAUUUGUAGCUACACACAGCAGCGAGGGGUAGUAUUGUGGUAAUGGGGACAGGAUAUUGCCUUUCCAAAUUGAAAAAAAAAAUAUUUGAUGAAAUAUCCCCCCACCUUACACCCCCUUUGCCAAUGUUAAGGGGGGUGCAUCCCCAUGGCAUAAAUACAUCCAGCAUG